rnacentral:rRNA from 1 species
AGUGAACGCUGGCGGUAGGCCUAACACAUGCAGGUCGAACGGCAGCACAGUAAGAGCUUGCUCUUACGGGUGGCGAGUGGCGGACGGGUGAGGAAUACAUCGGAUUCUACUUUUUCGUGGGGGAUAACGUAGGGAAACUUACGCUAAUACCGCAUACGAUCUACGGGUGAAAGCAGGGGAUCUUCGGACCUUGCGCGAUUGAAUGAGCCGAUGUCGGAUUAGCUAGUUGGCUGGGUAAAGGCCCACCAAGGCGACGAUCCGUAGCUGGUCUGAGAGGAUGAUCAGCCACACUGGAACUGAGACACGGUCCAGACUCCUACGGGAGGCAGCAGUGGGGAAUAUUGGACAAUGGGCGCAAGCCUGAUCCAGCCAUACCGCGUGGGUGAAGAAGGCCUUCGGGUUGUAAAGCCCUUUUGUUGGGAAAGAAAAGCAGCAGGUUAAUACCCCGCUGUUCUGACGGUACCCAAAGAAUAAGCACCGGCUAACUUCGUG